GAAAUGCGAUAAGUAAUGUGAAUUGCAGAAUUCAGUGAAUCAUCGAAUCUUUGAACGCACAUUGCGCCCGCCAGUAUUCUGGCGGGCAUGCCUGUUCGAGCGUCAUUUCGACCAUCAAGCCCCAGGCUUGUGUUGGGGACCUGCGGCCGCCACAGGCCCCGAAAAGCAGUGGCGGGCUCGCUGUCACACCGAGCGUAGUAGCAAUCACCUCGCUCAGGGCGUGCUGCGGGUACCGGCCGUUAAACGACCAACGUUACCCCAAGGUUGACCUCGGAUCAGGUAGGAAUACCCGCUGAACUUAA
rnacentral:misc_RNA from 1 species